UACGGAGGGUGCAAGCGUUAUCCGGAUUCACUGGGUUUAAAGGGUGUGUAGGUGGAUUGGUAAGUCAGUGGUGAAAUCUCUGGGCUUAACUCAGAAACUGCCAUUGAUACUAUCAGUCUUGAAUACCGUGGAGGUCAGCGGAAUAUGUCAUGUAGCGGUGAAAUGCUUAGAUAUGACAUAGAACACCAAUUGCGAAGGCAGCUGGCUAGACCUGUAUUGACGCUGAGGCACGAAAGCGUGGGGAGCGAACAGG
rnacentral:rRNA from 1 species